rnacentral:rRNA from 1 species
UACGGAGGGGGCUAGCGUUGUUCGGAAUUACUGGGCGUAAAGCGCACGUAGGCGGCUUUGCAAGUCAGAGGUGAAAGCCCGGGGCUCAACCCCGGAAUUGCCUUUGAGACUGCAUCGCUAGAAUUGUGGAGAGGUAAGUGGAAUUCCGGGUGGAGUGGUGAAAUGCGUAGAGAUCCGGAGGAACACCAAAGGCGAAGGCAGUGUCCUGGGGAGUACCUGACGCUCAGGUGCGAAAGCCAGGGGAGCGAACGGG